rnacentral:rRNA from 1 species
AUUGAACGCUGGCGGCAUGCCUUACACAUGCAAGUCGAACGGCAGCACGGGUGCUUGCACCUGGUGGCGAGUGGCGAACGGGUGAGUAAUACAUCGGAACGUACCUUAUCGUGGGGGAUAACGCAGCGAAAGUUGCGCUAAUACCGCAUACGCCCUGAGGGGGAAAGCGGGGGACCGUAAGGCCUCGCGCGAUUAGAGCGGCCGAUGUCUGAUUAGCUUGUUGGUGAGGUAAAAGCUCACCAAGGCGCUGAACAGUAGCUGGUCUGAGAGGAGGUUCAGGCACACUGGAACUGAGACACGGCCCAGACUCCUACGGGAGGCAGCAGGGGGGAAAUUUGGACAAUGGGGGCAACCCUGAUCCAGCAAUGCCGCGUGAGUGAAGAAGGCCUUCGGGUUGUAAAGCUCUUUUGUCAGGGAAGAAACAGCAGCUCUAACACAGUCUGCGAAUGACGGUACCUGAAGAAUAAGCACCGGCUAACUACGUGCCAGCAGCCGCAGUAA